UACGGGGGGGGCGAGCGUUGUUCGGAAUUACUGGGCGUAAAGGGCUCGUAGGCGGCCAACUAAGUCAGACGUGAAAUCCCUCGGCUUAACCGGGGAACUGCAUCUGAUACUGGAUGGCUUGAGUUCGGGAGAGGGAUGUGGAAUUCCAGGUGUAGCGGUGAAAUGCGUAGAUAUCUGGAGGAACACCGGUGGCGAAGGCGGCAUCCUGGACCGACACUGACGCUGAGGAGCGAAAGCCAGGGGAGCAAACGGG
rnacentral:rRNA from 1 species